UAGCUGUUGCCGGCUCGAAUGCCUGGGUUUAUAUCCUGAUCAUUAUCCCUCCAGCUUGCUCUCAGGCAAUAGAUGAUUGGCUAUUUCUUUACCUCCUGUUUUUGCCUAAUUAGCUUUUUAGUGAGCUCUCUUUACCACCUGAUUGGUGGGGUGUGAGCUAAGUUGCAAGUCCCGUGUUUAAAGGUGGAUGUAGUCACCUUCCCAGCUAGGCUUAGGGAUUCUUAGCCUAGGAAAUCCAGCUAGUCCUGUCUUUCAAUAACAGUCCCUUCCUAAAAUAAACCCCUUCCUUCCUUGGGGAUCAGACUUCCUUUGAAACUAACAAAUUGGCCACAAGAUUAGAAAUUAUGGCUCAGGAGUCAUGCAGCCAGAGGCCACAAGAUUCUUCACCUCCCCAGUUGCUCCCAUAGGUAACAUUGCUAUUAUAAAACCUAAGAUUGGUGUUUGAGACAUUUUUUCAGAGCCUGCAUUGUGAUGGACCAGCUGGCACCACCCAGGCUGGUAACCUGGUUUAUCUGGUCUCAAAAGCUAAAGCUCCAACCCAGGAACUGACUCAGUACAAGAAGUCAAGCUCCUCUAUAACUGCCCAAGGGGUUCACCUUGCCUGUUGCCUAGACGGAGCCAAUUUAUCAAGAUAGGGGAAUUGCAAUAGAAAAAGAGUAAUUCAUGCAGAGCCCGC
rnacentral:lncRNA from 1 species